rnacentral:rRNA from 1 species
AAUUCCUACGGGAGUCAGCAGGGGGGAAUUUUCCCCAAUGGUCGAAAUCCUCUCGGAGCAAUCCCGCGUGAGGGAAGACUCCCUAUGGGUGGUAACCCUCUUUUUUCAGGGAGGAAUCAAUGACGUGUACCUGAAGAAUAAGCAUCGGCUAACUCCGUGCCAGCAGCCGCGGUAAGACGGAGGAUGCAAGUGUUAUCCGGAAUCACUGGGCGUAAAGCGUCUGUAGGUGGUUUAAUAAGUCAAUCUGUUAAAUCAAGAGGCUCAACUUCAAAAUCGCAGUCGAAUCUAUUCGACUAGAGUAUAGUCGCGACAUGAUCCC